rnacentral:rRNA from 1 species
AUUGAACGCUGGCGGCAGGCCUAACGCAUGCAAGUCGAGCGGAUGAAGGGAGCUUGCUCCUGGAUUCAGCGGCGGACGGGUGAGUAAUGCCUAGGAAUCUGCCUGGUAGUGGGGGAUAACGUCCGGAAACGGGCGCUAAUACCGCAUACGUCCUGAGGGAGAAAGUGGGGGAUCUUCGGACCUCACGCUCUCAGAUGAGCCUAGGUCGGAUUAGCUAGUUGGUGGGGUAAAGGCCUACCAAGGCGACGAUCCGUAACUGGUCUGAGAGGAUGAUCAGUCACACUGGAACUGAGACACGGUCCAGACUCCUACGGGAGGCAGCAGUGGGGAAUAUUGGACAAUGGGCGAAAGCCUGAUCCAGCCAUGCCGCGUGUGUGAAGAAGGUCUUCGGAUUGUAAAGCACUUUAAGUUGGGAGGAAGGGCAGUAAGUUAAUACCUUGCUGUUUUGACGUUACCAACAGAAUAAGCACCGGCUAACUUCGUG